CUCCUUCCUUCUGGGCAAGGUUGUGUGUGCAUAAAUAAAUCUAUGUUAUCUUUAUGGUAGAUUUAUGCGGAUUAAGGAAUACAUUUUUAGAUCCACGGUUGAAUGUUUGUCUAGGUUAGCUUUGGGUGUAUACCUAUUAAAAUCGGCUUGCUGGUAGUUUUGAAGGAAGAAGUUAUUCUUCUUAAACAACAGCUGUGCUUAUUGUACCAGAGGCAUGAGCAUCUUCUCCACUCAUUAGUGAAUGGAAGGGCAUUGCACGAAUGGGUUGCUAUUGAUCUAAGUUAUCCACGUACUCUAGGUGCUAAUGAUGCAUACUAUUUCUACUCGUUUUUGCGACCUUUGGUUCUCUGUUCGUCACCCACCCAUGGGUCUAUGUUGCUUAUAGUUGUUUUGGAUUCUAGAUUGCCUUGUUU
rnacentral:misc_RNA from 1 species